CAAUAGCGUAUAUUAAAGUUGUUGCAGUUAAAAAGCUCGUAGUUGGAUUUCUUGGAGGGUGCCAAUGUCCGCUACGGCGUGCGCAGCGGCGCCCUUCCAUCCUUCUGUUAACGCCUCUUGGCAUUCGUUUGCUGGUGGCGGGCUCAGAUAUUUUACCUUGAGAAAAUUAGAGUGUUUAAAGCAGGCCUUCGCCUUGAAUACAUUAGCAUGGAAUAAUAAGAUAGGACUUUGGUCUAUUUUGUUGGUUUGCAGACCGAAGUAAUGAUUAAUAGGGAUAGUUGGGGGUAUUUAUAUUCCGAUGUCAGAGGUGAAAUUCUUAGAUUUUCGGAAGAUAAACUUAUGCGAAAGCAUUUACCAAGGAUGUUUNCAUUAA
rnacentral:rRNA from 1 species